GGGGCCAUGGCUCAAUGGCAAAGCAUCUGCUUGGCAUGCAGAACGCACCAGGAUCAAUCCCCAGCAGCUCCA